GUGGUUCGCCCAAGGCGAGGCUCAGCCAUUGCACUCGGGCUGUGCUGACCCUUGCGAAUUCCCCAAAUGUGG